AACGAACGCUGGCGGCAUGCCUAACACAUGCAAGUCGAACGAUGCCUCCGGGCAUAGUGGCGCACGGGUGCGUAACGCGUGGGAAUCUGCCCUUGGGUUCGGAAUAACCCGCCGAAAGGCGAGCUAAUACCGGAUGAUGACGUAAGUCCAAAGAUUUAUCGCCCAAGGAUGAGCCCGCGUAGGAUUAGCUAGUUGGUGGGGUAAAGGCCCGCCAAGGCGACGAUCCUUAGCUGGUCUGAGAGGAUGAUCAGCCACACUGGGACUGAGACACGGCCCAGACUCCUACGGGAGGCAGCAGUGGGGAAUAUUGGACAAUGGGCGAAAGCCUGAUCCAGCAAUGCCGCGUGAGUGAUGAAGGCCUUAGGGUUGUAAAGCUCUUUUACCCGGGAUGAUAAUGACAGUACCGGGAGAAUAAGCGCCGGCUAACUCCGUG
rnacentral:rRNA from 1 species